UACGUAGGGACCAAGCGUUGUCCGGAAUCAUUGGGCGUAAAGCGCGCGUAGGUGGCCAUUUAAGUCCGCUGUGAAAGUCAGAGGCUCAACCUUUGAAAGCCGGUGGAUACUGGAUGGCUAGAGUACGGAAGAGGCGAGUGGAAUUCCUGGUGUAGCGGUGGAAUGCGCAGAUAUCAGGAGGAACACCAAUAGCGAAGGCAGCUCGCCGGGACGUUACUGACACUAAGGCGCGAAAGCGUGGGGAGCGAACAGG
rnacentral:rRNA from 1 species